GAAUUAUUGUAAUUUGUUUUAACCUAAGACAUAAACAAUAACCAGGAUAAUCUUUUUAUUCUAAAAAGAACUCCUAAAAGAAAAGAAACUAAUCUUAAAGAAAGUGAUAAACAAAUAAAAAUAGAAGAUCUAUUUUGACAUGAAAUAGAUAUAUCCAUAUAUCUUUGACUUAUUUUUAUGAAAUGAUAAAAUAUGGCAAAACCUCUACCAAAAUUUGGUUCACGUAGGAAUGGGAGCAGUAGUGCAUAGAAAAGUGUGAUAGUCCAGUAGUCGAAAGUAUCACUAGUUUACGCUCUGACCCGAGUAGCAUGGGGCACGUGGAAUCCCAUGUGAAUCAGCAAGGACCACCUUGUAAGGCUAAAUACUCUUGGGUGACCGAUAGCGAAGUAGUACCAUGAGGGAAGGGUGAAAAGAACCUCUAUUGAGGAGUGAAAUAUAGCAUGAAACCGUAAGCUCCCAAGCAGUGGGAGGAGCCCAGGGCCCUGACCGCGUGCCUAUUGAAGAAUGACUCGAUGACUCAUAGGUAGUGGCUUGGUUAAGGGAACUCAUCGGAGCCGUAACUAAAUCGAGUCUUCAUAGGGAAAUUUUCACUGCCUAUGGACUCAAACCUGGGUGAUCUAUCUAUGACUAGGAUAAAGCUUGGGUGAAACUAAGUGGAGGUCUGAACCGAUUGAUGUUGAAGAAUCAGCGGAUGAGUUAUGGUUAGGGGUAAAAUGCCCCUCGAACCUAGAGUUAGCUGGUUCUCCCCAAAAUGUAUUGAGGCGUAGCAAUCUACUGGACAUCUAAGGGUAAAGCACUGUUUCGGUGCAGGCCACGAGAGCAGUACCAAAUCGAGGCAAACUAUGAAUACUAGAUAUGACCUCAAAAUAAUAGGGGUCGAGGUCGACUAGUGAGACGAUGAGGGAUAAGCUUCAUCAUUGAGAGGGAAACAAUCUGGAUCACCAACUAAGGCCCCAAAAUGACCUCUCCGUGAUAAAAGAGGUAGGGGUGUAGAGACUACCAUGAGGUUUCCAUAGAAGCAGCCACCCUUGAAAGAGUGCGUAGGAGCUCACUAAUUGAGAGCUCUUGCGCCUAAGAUGAAUGGGGCUAAGAAAUUAGCCGAAGCUGUAGGAUGUAAAAAUGUAUCGGUAGGGGAGCGUUCUAUCUUAGGGGGAAGCACCCGCAUGAGUGGGAGUAGACGAAGCGAAAGUGAAAAUGUCGGCUUGAGUAAUGCAAACAUUGGUGAGAAUCCAAUGCCCCGAAAAACGAUGGGUUCCUCCACAAGGUUCAUCCACAGAGGGUGAGUUAAGGCCUAAGCUCAGGCCGAAAAGCGUAGUCGAUGGACAACAGGUGAAUAUUCCUGUACUACCCCUUGUUGGUCUCAGGGACGAAGGAAGCUAGGUUAGUUGAAAGAUGGUUAUCAGCUCAAUGAGGCAAGGUGCCCCUACUUUUUUAGGGUAGGAAAGGGUAGAAAAAUGCCCCAAGCCAAUGUUCGAGUACCAGACACUACGACGUUGAAGUAACCCAUGCUAUAUUCCUAGGAAAAGCUCAAACAACCUUCAACAAAAGGGUACCUGUACCCGAAACUUACACAGGUGGGUAGGUAGAGAAUACCUAGAGGCGCGAGACAACUCACUCUAAGGAACUUGACAAAAUAACCUUGUAACUUCGGGAGAAGGGGUGCCUCCUCACAAAGGAGGUCGCAGUGACUAAGCCCGGGCAACUGUUUACAAAAAAUACAGAUCUCCGUAAAGUAUUAAGACCAUUUAUAAGGGUUGACGCCUACCUAGUACAGGAAUGUCAAGGAAGUUGGUGACCUGAUGAUAGGGAAGCUGGUGACCAAAGCUCUAGUGAAUGAUGACCAUAACUAUAACGGUCCGACCAUAACUAUAACGGUCCUAAGGUAGCGAAAUUCCUUGUCAGGUAAGUUUCGACUUGCACGAAAGGCUUAACGAUCUGGGCACUGGCUCGGAGAGAGGCUCAAUGAAAUAG
rnacentral:ncRNA from 1 species